rnacentral:lncRNA from 1 species
ACCCUAUAAUUUUAUCUCGAUCCUCUAAUAUUUUGGUUUCUAAACAUUAAAUUAUUAUAAUUUUUAACUUAAAAUUUUUAAAUUACUAAUUUCAUAAUUUAAUUUAGUUAAUUAAAUAUUAACGUAUUUCUGAUAUAAAAAUAAUAUGAUAUUUUUAAUUAUUAUGGAAUUAUAAAUUAUAAUACUGCUAUAUUUUUUUUAUCAGCUAAAUUGCAAUUGUAUGGCUUAAUUAUAACAAUUUUAAAAAUUUAAAUUAAAAAUUAUAAUAAAUUAAAAUUUGAGAACUAAAAUAUCACGUGUCUAAUAGUUUAAGG